AAAGAAAGCCUCCAUAGAUCUUUCUUCUCUCAGAUAAGGAAGUAAAUGAAUACCAGUGCUGUUUUGCUACUGUAUUAUACAGUUCUGCAAGCCAACAGGGGAAAAUGGAAGUCUUGCAAAUGUCUUGGUGAGGUAAAAAUCAUUAUGGAUUUCUCAUUGGCUAACUGGAUAGCUGAAAGCCUAUUGUAGAGAGAUAUUUUUUUUUUUCACCAAGAGUGAUUGGGCUAGCUAUAUCUAUCAGUAUGAUGUCAAAUGUCCAUAUUCUUCUCACUUUAACAAUACUAUGAUUUCAUUAAUGUGAAUAUUCCCUCCAGAGGUGCAGAACACAGUCCAUUUGUGCCUUCUCUUCCAGGUUCUCCCAUAAAUUCUCUAAAUGGAGUCCACUCAAUGGUCUGAAAGCUUUCCUCUGGAUCUUUUUUGGUGUCACAGGAUUCCUGGGUCUGAAGAGUUGUUGUGAUGACUCUGGAGAAGAGGCUGAGGCUGACAACUUUGCAGCUCUUCCUCACUUGAAUCUAAUACAUGGGCAAGUUAAGAAAUCAUCCCCAUGAUGCUCUUUGAGAAUGAAGGAUGAACAACAUGCAGAAAGUAAAUAUUCUCUUUGGAAAAGCUAAUUAAGGUUUCAAAUAGGCUAUUUGGAACCAGAAGACCUGGGUUCAAAUCCUGAUUUCAGUAGUCACUAGCUGUAUGACUGUGG